rnacentral:tmRNA from 1 species
GGGGAUGACAGGCAUAGACAUAUGGUCUCCUUCUUUCUGCGCAUUGUGGAACUCCGGUAAUUCCUUAAACUGCCGGAACAAUUAAGUGCAAAAUCCUUAAUUUCAAAAGCCAAGUCCAUCGUCUCGCCGUAUUUCGGCGAACGUGAGCUCGCUUUCGCUUACGCUUCGGCGUAGGCGACGCUUAUCUUCCCGACGUCCGAUAGGGAUACGUAAGUGUUAUAUAUUCGGAAUCGAGCGUGUUCCCUUCUCGGCUCACGCUUUAACCAAAGAGAAUCGGUGCCAAGACAUUCUGUUAAUCUUAUAGUCUUGGUGCUCAAAGUCCGCAAGGACAAGAUUAACUAGACAAUGUAGAACCGGAAAAAAGAAUCAUGUGCACGGGAGUUCGAUUCUCCCCUUCUCCACAU